UAGGUGGAGCAUAACAAAGUGAAGUACCCUA
rnacentral:piRNA from 1 species